UGGUUUUCCACCCUAUUUGCAAGACAAUGGACAAUAUGGUUCUUGAUUCAAUGGGAAGAAGAAGAACUUGUCUUGCUAAAGAAUGGGAACCAUAACCCCCACUUAUAACUCUAAGAGUUACAUAACCCAAGAGACAAGAGUUUCAAGACAAGAGUUAUGUCUUAAGUUAUGUCUUGCAAGAGUUACAAAACUCAAGAGUCACAAGCAAGUAACCAUAGUUACUUAUG
rnacentral:lncRNA from 1 species